CUCACCUCUGGCUAUCUGGACUGACUCUGCAGGCUCUGAAAACUCUGGAGCAGUACUCACUGCUGCUCUCUCUGGUUCCUCUGGUCUGUGCCUACACAGAUGGACUCAAAUGAGGGACCAAACUAGCUUAUGACCAACUCUAUUAAACUCCCCAAGAAUCCCCUUAAACUCACUCAAACAUCCAUGCAAAGCAUGCAAUGGAAGGCUGG
rnacentral:lncRNA from 1 species